AUGGUAAAAUCAUGCUGAAAACAACAGUUCUCGUUCCAUCACCGAAGUUAAGCAGCGUCGGGCCCGGUAAGUACUAAAACGGGGGACCACAUUAAAAACAUCGGGUGCUGUA